CAUGCCGUAAACGAUGUCAACUAGCCGUUGGGCUCCUUGAGGGCUUAGUGGCGCAGCUAACGCGAUAAGUUGACCGCCUGGGGAGUACGGUCGCAAGACUAAAACUCAAAUGAAUUGACGGGGGCCCGCACAAGCGGUGGAGCAUGUGGUUUAAUUCGAUGCAACGCGAAAAACCUUACCCACCUUUGACAUGGUCGGAACCCUUUAGAGAUAGAGGGGUGCUCGAAAGAGAGCCGAUACACAGGUGC
rnacentral:rRNA from 1 species